AUUGAACGCUGGCGGCAGGCCUAACACAUGCACGUCGAACGAGUGGCGGACGGGUGAGUAAUGUCUGGGAAACUGCCUGAUGGAGGGGGAUAACUACUGGAAACGGUAGCUAAUACCGCAUACCAUCAGAUGUGCCCAGAUGGGAUUAGCUUGUUGGUGGGGUAACGGCUCACCAAGGCGACGAUCCCUAGCUGGUCUGCGAGGAUGACCCGCCACACUGGAACGCAGGGCCGGUCCAGACUCCUGCGGGAGGCAGCAGUGGGUAAUAUUGCGCAAUGGGCGCAAGCCUGAUGCAGCCAUGCCGCGUGUAUGAGGAAGGCCUUCGGGUUGUAAAGUCCUUUCAGCGGGGAGGCGUUACCCGCAGAAGAAGCACCGGCUCACUCCGUGCCAGCAGCCGCGGUAAUUC
rnacentral:rRNA from 1 species